rnacentral:rRNA from 1 species
CCUACGGGAGGCAGCAGUGGGGGAUAUUGCACAAUGGGGGGAACCCUGAUGCAGCGACGCCGCGUGGGUGAAGAAGCGCCUCGGCGCGUAAAGCCCUGUCAGCAGGGAAGAAAAUGACGGUACCUGAAGAUGAAGCCCCGGCUAACUACGUCCCAGCAGCCCCGGUAAUACGUAGGGGGCAAGCGUUAUCCGGAUUUACUGGGUGUAAGGGGGCGCAGGCGGCGAUGCAAGCCAUGAGGUAAAGCCAGGGGAUCAACCCCGGGACUGCUCGUGGGACUGCGUGGCUGGAGUGCAGGAGGGGCAGGCGGAAGGCGUGGUGUAGCGGUGAAAUGCGUAGAUAUCAGGAGGAACACCGGUGGCGAAGGCGGCCUGCUGGCCUGCAACUGACGUUGAGGCCCGAAAGCGUGGGGAGCAAACAGGAUUAGAUACCCGAGUAGUC